rnacentral:rRNA from 1 species
AUGCAUGUGAGGGUGAGCAAUGAGCUUGGCGCGGGCAACCCCAAGUCAGCGGCGUUCUCAGUUGUGGUGGUGACGAUGUUGUCAUUCGUCCUGUCAGUUAUAAUCUCGGUAGUCAUCCUGCUCUGCAAUGAUUACAUCAGCUACAUUUACACUGACGGCGAAAAUGUGGCAGCGGCCGUGUCCAAGAUGACCCCACUCCUGGCACUCACUAUAAUCCUCAAUGGCACCCAACCAGUGCUAUCAGGGGUAGCCGUGGGCUGUGGUUGGCAAGCGUUUGUCGCCUAUGUCAACAUCGGCUGCUACUAUGCCGUGGGCAUCCCCCUUGGUUUCCUCCUCGGCUUCUACUUCGACCUCGGUGCAGUGGGCAUAUGGAGUGGUAUGAUUGGAGGUACAUUGAUGCAGACUAUGAUCCUAGUGUGGGUUACCUUGAGGGCAGACUGGAACAAAGAGGUCGCUGAUGCUAUGAAAAGAUUGCAGAGGUGGGAAGACAAGACACCUCUAUUGGUAGGGCAAGAAUGA